rnacentral:tRNA from 1 species
AGAAACUUAGGAUAACUCAAACCAAGGGCCUUCAAAGCCCAAAAUAGGGGGCACCCCCUAGUUUCUG